AUGGGGUGGAUCUCUAUCAUCCUCUUUCUAGUGGCAACAGCUAUAGGUGUCCACUCUCAGGUCCAGCUGCAGCAGUCUGGGGCUGAGCUGGUGAGGCCUGGGGCCUCAGUGAAGAUGUCAUGCAAGGCUUCUGGCUACACCUUCACUACCUAUCCUAUAGAGUGGAUGAAGCAGAAUCAUGGAAAGAGCCUAGAGUGGAUUGGGAAUUUUCAUCCUUACAAUGAUGAUACUAAGUACAAUGAAAAGUUCAAGGGCAAGGCCACAUUGACUGUAGAAAAAUCCUCUAGCACAGUCUACUUGGAGCUCAGCCGAUUAACAUCUGAUGACUCUGCUGUUUAUUACUGUGCAAGGCACAGUGUUGCAACCACAUCCUGA